rnacentral:rRNA from 1 species
CCUACGGGUGGCAGCAGUGGGGAAUAUUGCACAAUGGGGGAAACCCUGAUGCAGCGACGCCGCGUGAGUGAAGAAGUAUUUCGGUAUGUAAAGCUCUGUCAGCAGGGAAGAAAAUGACGGUAACUGACCAAUAAGCCCCGGCUAACUACGUGCCAGCAGCCGCGGUCAUACGUAGGGGGCAAGCGUUAUCCGGAUUGACUGGGUGUAAAGGGUGCGUAGACGGAAGGGCAAGUCUGGAGUGAAAGGCGGGGGCUCAACCCCCGGACUGCUCUGGAAACUGCCAGGCUGGAGUGCAGGAGGGGUAAGUGGAAUUCCUAGUGUAGCAGUGAAAUGCGUAGAUAUUAGGAGGAACACCAGUGGCGAAGGCGGCUUACUGGACUGUAACUGACGUUGAGGCUCGAAAGCGUGGGGAGCAAACGGGAUUAGAUACCCGGGUAGUC